rnacentral:lncRNA from 1 species
CCAAUAACUUCUAUUUUCCUCACCCUUCUAGGUGUCUGUUAGCCUAAUCUUUCCUGGUUGUGUGACAAGAGCCCGGUUUUUGCUGAACUAAGGAGAAAAUUCUGCAACAAUAAUAUAAAAACUUCCACUUCAGGAGGAGAUGAAGACUUUGGAAAAGUUUCAUGGGGAAGGAUUUGAGGAUCACACCAUCCUCCCUUGUACAUGAAGAAACCUAGAAGCAGAGAAGCCAUCCACUCUCCCCAUGUCAGUCAGCCAGUGAUCCAUGGCAAAGAUAAUUGACGCUCUGGCAAACCUGGUAUACCCCAGCUACUGCGGAUGUCUGAGGCUGAUAGCUCACAGAGCCAAAUUCAGUCCACUACAAGAAGCCUGUGUUGUCAGCUGUUAUGAAGCUUGUAGAUGGGUGGAGAUGC